AUAACUAUUAUUAAAUAAUUAAACAAACCCGUUUUUACAUUGUUCGUCUAUUUAUUGCUUAUGUGGCUCAUCCCGUGUGGCCUGCUCAAGAAAUCGAUUUUUAUACCUUUGCCGAGGGUAUUAUAAUUUUGGUCAAAAGUGUGCAACGCAGUGAUUUUUAGAAGUAUUUUUUAGAAGGAUACUCGCAACAAUUGUCUAUAUUUGCAAAGAAAGGAUAUAGAAUUAUUGCGAUUGCGUUCAAGGCUCUUGACCCAAAAGUUAACUACACAAAAAUUCAGCGGUUUUCCCGUGAAGAUGUGGAAAAUUAUCUUGAAUUUCUUGGUUUCGUUAUACUGGAGAAUCGUUUAAAGCCAGACACAACUGAAGUAAUUAAUACAUUAAAUGCGGCGAAGAUUCGAACUAUAAUGAUUCGAACUAUAAUGAUUCGAACUAUAAUGAUUCGAACUGGUGACAACAGCUAUCACGACAACAGUGUUGCUCGUGAUUGUGGCAUAGUUAACUCAUCUCAAGCAGUGAUUACUAUCCAUGCAGAUCCGGUUAACAGAUCUGAACACAAUUCUGAUGAUAGUAACCGUCAUAAUAUUAAAAUGAGUAGCGACCAGAAUAGAAAAUACCAGUUACAAUACACAUUAGAUACGGGCAGUAAUAUUUGUGCUUCACAUCAAUUAUCUAAUAAUGGUAAUUUUUUUUAACAAGAAAGCACUGCAAGUAACUGCAGCGCCGAGAGUACGAUGAAUCUUCCCCGAAUAACGUCAAGAAAUUCCUUCGAAAAUAAAUCUUAUAAAAAUUAUAAUGAAAGCGUUGUACGUUUAAGUAAUAGUUCGGCAAGUGUAGAGACCAUAGAUACGUGGACUCACAAUGAUACAACAGAUGUUCACGUAGAACUUGAAACGAACAUUAUGCAAGAAAGUAAAUGGCAGCAACAAUAUACAUUUGCAAUGGAUGGAAACACCUGGCAAAUUGUAAAAGAUCAUUUCCCCGAGCAACUUGGAAUUAUAUUAACACGCGGAUCAAGUUAUGCACGUAGGUCCCCUGAGCAGAAACAAGCUUUAGUUAUGGAACUCCAAAACGUUGACUACUGUGUAGCUAUGUGUGGCGACGGGGCUAAUGAUUGCGGCGCUCUAAAGGCUGCGCAUGCUGGUAUUUCGCUUAGCGAAACUGAAUCCUCUAUUGCAUCCCCAUUUACUUCCCAUAAUUCUACGAUUUCAGCGGUUAUAAAUGUUAUUAAAGAAGGCCGAGCUGCAUUGGUAACAUCUUUUGGUAUUUUUAAGUACAUGGCCGCCUAUUCGCUUGUCCAGUUCAUAUCUGUAAUGAUAUUGUAUUCAAUCGACUCUAACUUGGCAGAUAAACAGUAUCUCUAUGUUGACCUUGGGCUAAUUUCGAUAUUUGCCUUUUUUUUUGGAAAAACGGAAUCUUUUUUGAUGGAAAAUUAGUAAAGCAAGUGCCGCUUAGCUCUUUAAUUUCUACGACACCCCUGGCCUCGCUUUUACUUCACCUUGCUGCCGUCAAGAUUUUUCAGGUGACGGGUUGGUUUCACCUACAACAACAACCAUGGUUCACACCUUUUCAACAAACUGAUGAGGAAAAUUUAGGUUGUUAUGAAAAUAUACAAUGUUUUGCAUAUCUAGUUUUCAGUACA